rnacentral:rRNA from 1 species
ACGUCUACGGUUUCUUCCUCGAGCAUUUCAUUCCACUGCCUUGUCGACGCCGACAGGCAGGGCCGCCCGCACGAUGCCUCCCCUCCUCCGCUCCCCCGCGCCGCCGUCCGCCGGUGUCUUCUGCCGGCGGCGGAAAAGAAUGCGUGCGCGUGCAUCGUGGCAGGAGCUGGCGGGCGUGCUGGUGUUCUCCGCCGUCCCCUUCACCGCCGUCAAGGCCAUCGCCAACAGCCCCCUCGGCGCCAGCCUCCGCCGCCGCCUCGAGUCCAGGAAGGCCUCCGCCGCCGCCGAGGCAGACGCCCUCCGCGCCGCCGCCCGCGAGGCCCGCAGCUCCAGCUUUUGGUACGGGGGAGCUCGGCCGCGGUGGCUCGGUCCUCUCCGGUACGACUACCCGGAGCACCUGGUCGGAGAGUUCCCGGGCGAUUACGGCUUCGAUAUAGCAGGUCUGGGCCGGGACCCCGUUGCUUUCGCCAACUACUUCAACUUUGAGAUUUUACAUUGUCGAUGGGCCAUGCUUGCUGCUCUUGGUGUUGUUGUUCCUGAGCUGUUAGAUCUAUUUGGGAUAGUGCAUUUUGUGGAGCCUGUGUGGUGGAAAGUUGGUUAUGCAAAACUUCAGGGCGAUACUCUUGAUUACCUUGGGAUUCCUGGGUUCCGAAUUGCUGGUGGUCAAGGCAUCAUCGUCAUCGCUAUCUGUCAAGUCCUUUUGAUGGUUGGGCCAGAAUAUGCGAGAUACUGUGGGAUCGAGGCGCUAGAACCCUUGGGAAUAUAUCUUCCUGGGGACAUAAACUACCCAGGUGGAGCACUGUUCGAUCCCUUGGGGCUGUCCAAAGACCCUGUUGCGUUCGAAGAACUCAAGGUGAAGGAGAUCAAGAAUGGUCGUCUCGCAAUGGUUGCAUGGAUCGGAUUCUACGCCCAGGCUGCUGUAACCGGCAAGGGCCCUGUGCAGAACCUCGUCGAGCACUUGUCGGAUCCACUCCGCAACAACGUUUUAUCCCAUUUUCUUUGAGGCAUUCUAACUGCUUAUGUACCGCGUUUACAUUGAUCAGUUUGUUUUUACUAGGAAAUUAAUAUAGUUUUAGCAAAUAGGUUACUGCGUAACAUGGCUAUAAGAUUGUUGUACAGUUGUGGAGUUAUGGUGUUGUUCAGCAGAAAUUGUGGGUGCCCCAAAAUUACUGAAAAUGGGAUUACAUUGAUCAGUUUGUUGUUACUAG